rnacentral:lncRNA from 1 species
GAGACAACACCUGAUAGCCCCACCCUUACCAUGCCUACUGUGAAUAGCAUAGUAAGUGUCAGCCAACAGAGUAGGAACUGGAUUUCCUCCAAUGAAAAUACUGACUGCAGCAUAGUCAACAAAAUUGGGCAUACUCGGAAACAGGACGAUCCCAUAGAUCAUGACGGCCAACUGAGCAUGAAAGGCUUCCCAACUUCCCUUCUCUGCUUCUUCUCUAGCUAC